GUGUUCACGGCAGCAUAUAUACUAAAAUUGGAAUGACAACAGAGAAGAUUACCAUGGCCCCUGUGCAAGGAUGACAUGCAAAUUUGUGAAGCAUGCCACAUUUUU
ensembl:snRNA U6 U6 spliceosomal RNA